ACUGCAGACUGAAGCGGUUCCUAUUUGGCCACCUUGCCAGCCCAUCUCGAACAUCAUCUAAAAGGACUGGACCUACAUCUGCAGUUAACUGCACAAUGGAAGAAACGGCCUCUCCUGGGCAGCCUCAUGGAUGGGGUGAAGAGACAAAGCUUGGGAGUGUAGCAUGUUGAGCACAUCUGCUCAGAGGUAACAUUUAAGCAGUAAGUCUUGUGUUUUAAAUCAUGUUAUCAGCCUACAUGCAUUAUCUCUUUUAGUCAUCAUCAUAACUCUGUAAUAUAAAUACUGUAAAAUAUUUUAUAGAGGAGAAAAAACUCCUAUGUAGUAAGAAGAGAGAUAACUUGUCCUAGUACACACUGCUAGUUGGAAAUAAACCAAACAAAUGAACCCAAGUUUUGCCCCCAGAACCUAUAUGUUCAUAUUUCAAACUAAACAACCAUCUUUCCUGGAAAGCAAUCUCUUCUCCAGACAUCUCUAUUUCUCUCAAUAGAAUGAACUUCUUAGUGAUUUAUUUUUUAAAGUUAAAUGUCAUAAAAUAGGCAUAUGUUGUAGAUAUAACCAAAUUGAAGUAGCAUGUUUAUGUAUUAGAGCACAACUUCAAAAUGGAGAGAUUUAAACAGCUGUUUCAUCAGCUCUUGUCAGGGCUCAGCUGCGUGCCUCUUCUGCUGCUCACAUGUGUAGUUUCUCAUGCAGUUACCAUCAGAUUGGGCUGAAGCUGCCGUGGCUCCAGGUCUAACUCCCUCAUGUUCCUCCCCAGGGGCUUCACUCUAUGUUGCUGUUUUAAAUAAUCUUACUUUUUAAGAACAGUUUUCGACAUACAGAAAACUUGGGCAAUACUACAGAGGGUUCACACAUACCCCACACCCAGUUUUCUCUGUUACUAACAUCUUAUAUCAGUGAUGUACAAGUGUUACAAUUAAUAUGCCCAUAUUGAUGCAUUGUUAUUAACUAAAGUCCAGAUUUUUUUCAGUUUUUUUUUAUUUUUUUUAUUUUUUAUUUUUUUUAGUUUUUACAAAAUGUCCUUUUCUGUUCCAAGAUCUCAUCUGGAUACCAUGUCAUAUUUAGUUGUCAUGUCUCCUUGGGCUCCUCUUGGCUGUGACAACUGUGGCCUUGCUCUUUAUGUGUUGUCUUAUCCUCCAGGACCACACACACACAUGCGGGCACGCACACACACACACACACACACACACACACACACACACACACGGUAGUUUGGACUUCUUACUUACUGGCCAAAGGCUCUGAGAUGAGGGAAGGAGAAGCUGUCACAUUCUAAGGCCUGGGCUCCAAAAUCCCAGAACAGCAAUUCCUCUGCUUCAUCUUGGUCCAACCAGUCACAGGCCCAGCCUAGAUUCAAAGGGGAAGACAUAAGUCCCAUCUCUUGAUGGGCAGAGAGGCCUGUGUGUGCAGGAAGCAUGAGCAGAAUAGUGAGAUUGUCAAGGGUCAUUUUAGGGUCAAGCCACACACAGAUGCCCGGAAAAUACCACCAUUUGCUUAGUUGAUUUUAAGCAGAGAAUGACGAAAUCAUUUUAAAAAAUUGAGAACAAAAUGGCAUAUUGAUAUUGAAUCCAAAUUCCUGUUUAAGCUAUGUACCUCCAAAUCAGUGGUUGCCAUAGGGUAUCACAUUGUAACACAAAUACCUAUUUCUCAUGCAAUUGAAUCACUCAUAAAAAUGUUGAAUGUGCCAUGUAAUAAAUGUAGUAAUUUGUUUUCUUUAGUAAAUAUAACAAAUGUGUAUAUUUAAAAUAAAAUUAGCCUUCCAUUGCCAUAGAAUUCGGAACUGUGGCUUUUUUUUUUUAAGUUUAGGUUGUCUCCAAGCAUAAAAAUGGAAAUACUGAUCCUGUGACAACACAGCCUGAAUUUUCUGCUUUGCAGAUGCCAGAUUUAUUUUUAAAUGGUGUGAAUCAAAUCUGUGCUGAGAGGCCAACUUCAAAAUAUAAAAGAAAAAUUGGCAAUGGGAGGAUUGUGCUGGUUUGGCUGAAAUGAAGUGCUCUACGGCAUUUCAUUCUAGUGGAGCGUCUGACUGUGAAAAUCCUUCCAAUUGUAAUUUUCUUUGGCUUGUCAAAAGAGGAUUAUGAACUAAAGUCAGUGUUGCAGGAAAUGUCACCUGUCCUUUGAAAGAAAAUAAUAAAUCAAAAUGGCUUUUGUUCAUCAUGUUUAAAAUGAAAAAAAAAAAAAAGUUGAUCCACUUGGAGUCUUCUCUCAUUUCUUGACAAGGCAGUUAAAUAAAUAAAACGGAAUUUUUUGUAAUUGUUACUUCUUGCUCAUCUCAAAAGGGGAAAAGGGAAAUCUUCAUUCAAUACAUAUUCAUACAGAGAAAAUAGAAGAGCAGAGACAGAGACAGAAAGAGAAAUGAGAUGAAGAGUGAAACAAGACCCUGGUAGAGUUCCUCAAGUCAGAUGUUAAGAAAGGUAUCUUUAAAUUAUAAUUUGUUUCUUUGAUAGAUACUAUAUUACAAAUUCAAAAAUGUGAGGUAAAUAAAAACAAAAGGAGUAGAUAACUAUUCCUGAAAAAUUCUAAGUGCUUGUAUAUUUUGCUUUAAGCAAAUAAAGACAAAAUUACCAAACAUA